rnacentral:lncRNA from 1 species
ACCUUGCCAAAACGUCACUUCCUCUGCUCGACCUACAGAGUCAUAAAAUGAUGUUACGGGAGAGGAAUUUAGUUUUUCUCACCAUGGUACCGUUUCCUGGUACGUUGUAUAGAUUGAUGUUGCCGUAUAGAGAAGAAAUAUUUCGCCGAGUAUAUGACUCGUUGACGAGAGAUGGAUACAACUGUUACAGAGUUUUCUGGAGGUUGUCCUUGUUGUGAGCUAAAUAAGUCAUAUUUGCAUAACAAAUGAGCUCAAGACUGGCAUGGGCUGCUUGUAGCCGCGUGCUGCGAUCAUUCCGUCAUGUGACGUCGAGCAAAGGCGUUGAUAGGUUGAGCUAGCUGCUAAUUCUAACCCGAGAAUAAUGGCAGUAAAUAUUGCGCGCUAAUGAUUAGUGAAGUUUAUUAUGUCAAAAUGCUAGGUACACGUGAGCUAUGAGAUCGCUUCACAUCGUUCACGCAGGGACCGCUGAACACGCAUACAGUCGGUCACAAAAGCUUGCCACAAAUGUUUGCGGGCAAAAAAUUGUCUACAAUAAUUCGACACACAGGUCCCGCGGAAAAUGUGAAUUUCUGUUCUUUCAAGGCGUGGCGCUUCUGUUUUACCGAAUAACUGCGUAGGUCGCAAUGGAUCCUGCAGGCCAAAACUUUGAAUUCAAGGUUGUGUUGCCCGGAUUCACGGCGAUUCAGCUUGUUUUGCAUACCUCGAGUCCCGCAAACUUUCGUGGCCGACUGUACAUAUGUGAACAGGAAAGCGAAGAAUGCGUGUUAUACCACGCACCACAUAUGACCAUCUAGGUAUUCAGACACUCGACUUUUUCAUGCUAAUAAGGGAAACGAAGCUUUACUUUUGACGUUUGUGGCUGGCGAGCAAACGUGUAAUAUGUAGCUACAAAGUUGUCAAAUGCUAAAAAAUUUAACUUUUCGCAAUCAUGCUAAGAGACGUGAUUGCAUUGGCUUGCAGUUUAUAUGAGCGUGGGCAUUCCUUUCCUAUUGGCUGAACUUCUGAGACGAUCGUUCGUCAGUUUCGAGUAUCAUAAGAGCUUCUACAACGCACUAGUUACUAGCGUUUCUACCUCACCCUCUGGUUCUUAAUGAUUAGCUUACAACUAUUUCGCAAGCAAAGCUUACACUGGUUGUAAAUUCGGCAUUUGCAAUAUGAGUGGUUUAAUUAAAGCAAGUACUUAGGUGUCAAAAGUGUAUUUACAUACUGCCAUCUUGGAUCUGAAAAAAAAGAUUUUAGAAUACCUUUUUUUUUAUUUUCGCCUAUUCUUGCGCAGGCGAAGAUGGGGGUGUCAAAAUAUUUGUACUCUUCCUCGUUUGGCUUUAGGAACCCAGUUUAAAGUGCGGCAGCAUCAAGCAGCCAUGCCGGCCUUGCCAGAUGUAAAUAUCUUGUACAUUGCUGCACCAAUAUUUUCUUCAAACGUUGACGCACCACGCACUGAACGUAGAGAGACUCGAGAGAAACGUUGAUAACGCAUGCAUGGUUUUAACUCAUAUACUGCAGAGAAAUGGUUUAAUCGAGUUGGGCUGUUUUAACGUACAGCACACCGUUAGACGUUCGGAAAUGGUCCGGGAGAGGCCUGCUGGUCUGGUCACACACCGCACAUAUCAUAGAUUAAACACCCUCGUACAUCGGAAGCGGGGAUAAUGCGCCUGCUACUGGGGAGCAGUUUCUGGGCCCUCGGGGAGAUUUUCGUUCUUUCAAUGAUGUACUCUAGCGAUACAACCAAGUGUGCAAACAGAAAAACUGUGAAAAUGUAUGUGUACAGAUAGCAAUUACUGCAAGACAAAGAACGAUACAAUCCUACCAGAAAACAAGUGCCAGGAAUACGAAACACAAAAUAUUUCUUGUCACUAAGGUAAUGAUGAUGAUUUACAAUAUCGUAGACGCUCACGUAUUUGCGUAUGCGCAUCUGCGCAAUUCGCUGCUUCCCUGGUUUCUGGCAUCGAGGCAAGCCCAGUGACAAAGUAACUUUGGCUUUCAACAAAAACUGAAAUAUUAUGCGAAGCGGUGGUAGCUGCCAAAAAUAUUCCCUUUAAAAUUUGAUCUAAAAAUUCGCAACUCUAGACCGUUGCAUCAAAGAAUCUGCAGAAAACGACAUGUAGUCACAACCAUCUUGCAAGUGACGAUUGUAAUGACUGGUUACAAGUGAGCAAUGGAAAAAAUAUUGUGCCCCUGAAGGCUACGACAGAAUCUGAGCUAGGAAAGAACAUCAGUCAUAAAUAGCGGUUUCUUAUGCUUCCUGAAUUUUAGUUGUUGAGAACCUGGUGAUAGUUGUUUUACGCCAAUCAUUUGUAAAAAGCAGUGCUCGCUUUCAAUUCUUUCGGUGCCUUUUUUUUUACUUUUCUUACAUAUCCCAAGAUGCGGACACGGCUCUUGAUGUAUGAUUGUGCUUGCAUGUUCGGAAAUGUCGAGUAUUGUUAUGUCACCACUUUAAACCUGGCUAUUAUAAGGUAUAUCUUUCUUCUUUUCUUUUCAUUUAAUGUUUUUUUUUUGUGUGUGUGUGUGUGUGUGAGAGAAUUGUCUUGAUUGUCCAGCACUGAAAAUGUUAACAAUGAAUUUCAUUGAGUUUAAGCAGAUUUGCGAACUAACUAUCCUCCAAUGUUGCAGAAAUCCCUGCGCCUAGCAUCACGACAGCGGGAAUCAGAUUACAUAGGUCAAGUCAAUGUUUACUUUAGCGUGCAAAGUGCGCAGUUAUAUUUAUUCUUCGGUGCCCCUGUGAAUACUGCAUAGUCCAUCUGUGCACGUGUCUCUUUACUAUUUCUUUUUUUUAUUAUUAUGUUGUGUAUUUGCGAAGGAGGAGAGCGAAAACCUGCUUACAAGCUCGCCAAUGGUAAUCCUUCCACUCUCCGAAAAAAAAAAAUGCCUACAAGCAUUUUGAUAGCACAGACACCGUACUAAUGGCUUUCAUACAAUAAUCUCGCGUGAAAGUUCAGCUGGAACUCUGCGAGCUGUUGUACAACUUGCCAGGUUUCAAGUCCGUAGAUUUCAAGCUUCACCGAUAGGCAUGCACACCCACCUCGCGGUUUAAGUAGUGUAACCGUUACGCUUAGCCACCAUACAUUCGUGAAUUGUGACAGUGAUGAACUAUUUGCGACGCCUCUAGGCUGUCGGUUUCACGGAAGUGUGAUUACGUUUUUUUUUUCGAAUGGCGGUCAGACUCAUGGCUCGCGCGGGUGACUUGGGCACCACGCCCAGACACGAGAAGGGUUAAUACAGGAGCUUUGAACGCAUGAUUCACAAUUCAGUGCAAUUUCGGUCAAGAGUGUUACGUUCAGGGCCAGAAACGCUUUCAUAAGUCUAUCCAGAGGUUCGGGUUGUGAACACGCAUAGCUGUUAAAUAGCAGUACAAAGAGACGUUAGAAAAGCGCCGGUGUUAACCAACUUCUUUGGAGUCGAGAGUCACACAGUUGCUAUUUUUGUAUAGACUUCAGUAAAACAAUAUCGACGACAUGUGCUGUGUACGUACAAGUAACAGUGAAGUGGUUUCUGUGGUAUCCUCGUUGCCCAUACAGAGCUUGGAAUUGCCAGCACCUGUAGUUUCUCUAUUUGUCGAGCGCUAGCUUCUUCGCGGUUUACUUAGAGUAACCAUCCACACAUGGAAAGCGACUCGGGCAAAAGGUUAACGCUCAAUGGCGCAAAGAUUCCGUUGCUAGAGCCAGUCGCGUAGAGAAUGAAGUUUGCUUAAAUGACCAAAAAUUCCACUUAGAUGUUCCAGGAAUAGCUAAAAUUGAGUUUUUACUACGCAGGCAUAAGGGGCCACAGCGCAAAACAAGCGUCUACUAUGAACACAGACGACGCGUUCCGGUUUUGUGUUUAUUCUACUGUUAUGUAUCUGUCUUUAGCGUCGUCUGAUUUGCGCACUGCCUGCCAGAUGCAUCUGCGAGUCGUGUUCUGUGAAUACGCAGAUGGUUAACACGUGACGGACACGUGACACAGUAGGAUGCAUAAAAAUAAUGCGUUUAUCGAACUCUGCCGGGCCGUCUCCCUUGGGCACUGAGUUCAGGCAGCCACGUUGGCUUCACCGCUUCGUACGGCGUGGCUGCUGGACGUCUUCAAACAAGAGUUGUCGUCUGCUUGACCGUACGCAAGCAGACGGGCUUUAUACAUAUAUAUUUCGGUGUGAUUUGCACACGUCACACUUCUACUGCGUACGAGCCACACGCACUCAUGUAGUUCACACACUGUUUCUGGUGCCAUGUUCUUGACCUUGUAGGUGAUGUCUUGACCACACGCGCUCUUCACCCGCGUUACAUGUAGCUUGAAAAAAAAAAAAAGACCUGCUUCUCUUCCACAGGUUCACUGUAUCGUAGUUAAUCAUACUAAACUCUCUGCCAAAGAUGGAAAAUGAUUUUUGGAUGAGAGAUGUGUGAAGAGGUUCUAUUCACUGUUUCGUCGCGGUUGACUUGCUUGACGACAACGUGCCGUGGAGUUAUGAUCUUUUAAGAAAAAAGAAAGAAUAAUAAAAAACAGAGUACAGUU